CGUAUUUUCCCCUCUAUAACACGCAGAUUUUUUCUCCUAAAAAGGAAGGGGAAAUGUUUGUGCGUGUUAUUGAGCGAAUGUGUGGUCCCUGGAGCCAAAUGGUGCGAGGGGAGGCAAAAAAAAUCAGGCAAAAAUCAAAUCGCGCGUCUCGGAGAAGGGAAACCUGAAAAGAGGAAGCGGCUGCUUUCCUGCAUUCUGCCUCAGGGUCUUACUGCCCACCCUCCUCUGUUUCUUUGCUGUGUUUGCUCAAACGGAACAAAGAGCAGGGAAAGCCCCUCCCCUCCAGGCAAGCAGAGGGGAAAGCAGAGUGUCGUCUCUGUGCUCCGGUGCUGCUGAAAACAUGCAGGAGGGAGAGAGAGCGAGAAAGAGAGAGAGAGAGCGCGAGCUGGCUGGCUUGGGUGGGUAGGUGAGGGAAAACUUUUGCCUUCCUUUCCUCCCUCCCGUUAUACCCCUCUCCUGCAUUCUUAGCCAGCUGCUUCUCUGCACACCCCUCUCCUGCUCCUUGUCCCUUCUGUGUUUUUCCUUCCCUCCCCACUUAAAAUGUGGUUAAAAAGCAUGGAUCCACAUGGAUCCUCAGGAUCUUUGCAUUGGGUCACCCCAAAUUCACCAUCAGAUCACAUAGCAUCCUGCCCCCCAAAAAUCACACACCCACUGUUGCCUGGGGCUGCAAUGGUGCAAAAAUGUGGUUACAAAGCAUGGAUCUACAUGGAUCCUCAGGAUCUUUGCAUUGGGUCACCCCAAAUUCACCAUCAGAUCACAUAGCAUGUCCAUGGCUACAGCCUGCCCCCCAAAAAUCAUGCACCCACUGUUGCCUGGGGCUGCAAUGGUGCAAAAAUGUGGUUAAAAAGCAUGGAUCCACAUGGAUCCUCAGGAUUUUUGCAUUGGGUCACCCCAAAUUCACCAUCAGAUCACAUAGCAUGUCCAUGGCUACAGCCUGCCCCCCAAAAAUCAUGCACCCACUGUUGCCUGGGGCUGCAAUGGUGCAAAAAUGUGGUUAAAAAGCAUGGAUCCACAUGGAUCCUCAGGAUUUUUGCAUUGGGUCACCCCAAAUUCACCAUCAGAUCACAUAGCAUGUCCAUGGCUACAGCCUGCCCCCCAAAAAUCACACACCCACUGUUGCCUGGGGCUGCAAUGGUGCAAAAAUGUGGUUACAAAGCAUGGAUCUACAUGGAUCCUCAGGAUCUUUGCAUUGGGUCACCCCAAAUUCACCAUCAGAUCACAUAGCAUCCUGCCCCCCAAAAAUCACACACCCACUGUUGCCUGGGGCUGCAAUGGUGCAAAAAUGUGGUUACAAAACAUGGAUCCACAUGGAUCCUCAGGAUCUUUGCAUUGGGUCAGCCCAAAUUCACCAUCAGAGCACAUAGCAUGUCCAUGGCUACAGCCUGCCCCCCCAAAA